rnacentral:rRNA from 1 species
GACAACCUACCCUUGGGAUCGGUAUAACCCCGGGAAACUGGGGAUAAUACCGAAUAGGUCAUAGGUGUUGGAAAACCCUAUGACUGAAAUGCUCCGGCGCCCAAGGAUGGGUCUGCGGCCGAUUAGGUUGUUGCUAGGGUAAAGACCUAGCAAGCCUAUAAUUGGUACGGGCUCUGAGAGGAGGAGCCCGGAGACGGACUCUUAGACACGAGUCCGGGCCCUACGGGGCGCAGCAGGCGCGAAACCUUUACAAUGUGCGAAAGCACGAUAAGGGGAUCCCAAGUGCCAGCGUACUGCGUUGGCUGUUCUCUAGCCUAAAAAGCUAGAGGUAGUAAGGACCGGGCAAGACCGGUGCCAGCCGCCGCGGUAACACCGGCGGUCCAAGUGGUGGCCACUUUUAUUGGGCCUAAAGCGUCCGUAGCCGGCCAAGUAAGUCCUUUAGGAAAUCUGGUGGCUUAACCAUCAGGCGACUGAGGGAAACUACUUGGCUUGGGACCGGGAGAGGUUCCGGGUACCCCAGGGGUAGGGGUGAAAUCCUGUAAUCCCUGGGAGACCGCCUGUGGCUAAAGCUCGGAACUAGAACGGGUCCGACGGUGAGGGACGAAAGCCAGGGGCACAAACCGGAUUAGAUACCCGGGUAGUCCUGGCCGUCAACGAUGCCCGCUAGGUGUAGGCCGUAGCACGUCUGCGGCCUGUGCCUUAGUGAAGACGUUAAGCGGGCCGCCUGGGAAGUACGUCCGCAAGCUGAAACUUAAAGAAAUUGGCGGGGG